rnacentral:rRNA from 1 species
AUGGCUCAGAACGAACGCUGGCGGCGCGUUUAAGCAUGCAAGUCGAGCGGCAAGGGCCUUCGGGCCCCUAGAGCGGCGGACGGGUGAGUAACACGUGGACAAUCUGCCCCCCGGCCCGGGAUAGCCCAGGGAAACCUGGAUUAAUACCGGAUGAGACGGGACCCGCGAUGGCAGGACCCGGGAAAGGCGCUGCGGCGCCGCCGGGGGAUGAGUCUGCGUCCCAUUAGCUAGACGGCGGGGUAACGGCCCACCGUGGCGACGAUGGGUAGCCGGCCUGAGAGGGUGGACGGCCACAUUGGAACUGAGACACGGUCCAGACUCCUACGGGAGGCAGCAGCUAAGAAUCUUCCGCAAUGGGCGAAAGCCUGACGGAAGCGACGCCGCGUGAACGAAGAAGGCCGUGAGGUUGUAAAGUUCUUUUCGGGAGGGGGAACAACCGUGGCAGGGAAUGGCCGCGGGAUGACGUGAAUCCCGGAAUAAGCCCCGGCUAACUACGUGCCAGCCGCCGC